CAGUCGCCGCGGUAAUACGGAGGAUGCGAGCGUUAUUCGGAGUCAUUGGGUUUAAAGGGUCUGUAGGCGGGCUAUUAAGUCAGGGGUGAAAGGUUUCAGCUUAACUGAGAAAUUGCCUUUGAUACUGGUAGUCUUGAAUAUCUGUGAAGUUCUUGGAAUGUGUAGUGUAGCGGUGAAAUGCUUAGAUAUUACACAGAACACCGAUUGCGAAGGCAGGGGACUAACAGACAAUUGACGCUGAGAGACGAAAGCGUGGGGAGCGAACAGGAUUAGAUACCCCCGUAGUCCCUGUCUCUUAUAC
rnacentral:rRNA from 1 species